rnacentral:rRNA from 1 species
AUACGGAGGAUCCAAGCGUUAUCCGGAUUUAUUGGGUUUAAAGGGUGCGUAGGCGGACUGGUAAGUCAGCUGUGAAAGUUUGCGGCUUAACCGUAAAAUUGCAGUUGAUACUGGUUUCCUUGAGUACGGUACAGGUGGGCGGAAUUCGUGGUGUAGCGGUGAAAUGCAUAGAUAUCAAGCAGAACUCCGAUUGCGAAGGCAGCUUACUAAGCUACAACUGACACUGAAGCACGAAAGCGUGGGGAUCAAACAGGAUUAGAUACCCUGGUAGUCCACGCAGUAAACGAUGAUUACUAGCUGUUUGCGAUACACAGUAAGCGGCACAGCGAAAGCGUUAAGUAAUCCACCUGGGGAGUACGCCGGCAACGGUGAAACUCAAAUGAAUUGGCGGGG